UUGUUGUCAUCAUCAAUAUGUAUUGCUUGUGAUGAACUCCCAUUGCUCGCAGCUUGUGGUCUGCUCUUCAAAAAUAUUUAGGAAGCCACUAGGAGGGUGAGAAUCUAAUCCCCUAGCAAAAAAAUAUACCCUAAAUAAAAACUUGCAUUCAAGCACUAGAUAUAAAUAAAUUGCAGCUUAGAACUAUAAACCUACAGUUAACAAAAUUCGCAUGUAACUAGAUAAGAAGCAUCACAAAUACUGUAGAAGUCUCUCACAUACAGGACAUCUAAUUUCAUAGCUACAG
rnacentral:lncRNA from 1 species